GUUGAAUCCUCCCCAUCUAGGGGUUGCAUAUGUAACAGUGGGGGAUAAUGGUUGGUUGGCUGGUUGCCUGGCAAUAGUUAAUGUGAACUCCUGAGGUCUGGAUGGCAACUCUUCAAAAUCCCAUAUUCCAUACUUUAUUAUUUCGUUUCCCCCAUCUUUGAACUUCUAGUGAGUUAGAUAACUUAAACUUCUGCAGAUCCGAACUGAUCGACAUGUUUGACGGCAAGGGGUCGGUGGGUUUUGUUGAGCUUAAACGGACCACAGGCAGGCAGGUCUGGCUUCAGCGCCAAAAGAAAUGAGAAGGGAAGGGAGAAAAUAGCGUUGAUUUGAAUCUGUGCUCAAUUGAACUCAAUAAAGGAGAGAACAAGAGUAGCUGGGGGA
rnacentral:sRNA from 1 species